GGUUGACCUCGGAUCAGGUAGGGAUACCCGCUGAACUUAAGCAUAUCAAUAAGCGGAGGAAAAGAAACCAACAGGGAUUGCCUCAGUAACGGCGAGUGAAGCGGCAAGAGCUCAAAUUUGAAAUCUGGCGCCUUCGGCGUCCGAGUUGUAAUUUGCAGAGGAUGCUUCGGAUGCAGCCCCCGUCUAAGUGCCCUGGAACGGGCCGUCGGAGAGGGUGAGAAUCCCGUCUGGGAUGGGGUGCCUGCGUCCGUGUGAAGCUCCUUCGACGAGUCGAGUUGUUUGGGAAUGCAGCUCUAAGUGGGUGGUAAAUUUCAUCUAAAGCUAAAUAUUGGCCGGAGACCGAUAGCGCACAAGUAGAGUGAUCGAAAGAUGAAAAGCACUUUGAAAAGAGAGUUAAACAGCACGUGAAAUUGUUGAAAGGGAAGCGCUUGCGACCAGACUCGCCUGCGGGGUUCAGCCGGGAUUCGUCCCGGUGUACUUCCCCGCUGGCGGGCCAGCGUCGGUUUGGGCGGCCGGUCAAAGGCCUCCGGAAUGUAGCACCCCCCGGGGUGUCUUAUAGCCGGAGGUGCAAUGCGGCCUGCCUGGACCGAGGAACGCGCUUCGGCUCGGACGCUGGCAUAAUGGUCGUAAGCGACC
rnacentral:rRNA from 1 species